UACGUAGGGGGCAAGCGUUGUCCGGAAUCAUUGGGCGUAAAGAGCGCGUAGGCGGUCCGGUAAGUCCGCUCUGAAAGUCCGGGGCUCAACCCUGGAAUGCCGGUGGAUACUGUCGAGCUAGAGUCCGGAAGGGGCGAGUGGAAUUCCUGGUGUAGCGGUGAAAUGCGCAGAUAUCAGGAGGAACACCAAUGGCGAAGGCAGCUCGCUGGGACGUGACUGACGCUGAGACGCGAAAGCGUGGGGAGCAAACAGG
rnacentral:rRNA from 1 species